GAAUUUUCCGCAAUGGGCGAAAGCCUGACGGAGCAAUACCGCGUGAGGGAAGACGGCCUAUGGGUUGUAAACCUCUUUUCUCAGGGAGGAACUCAAUGACGUGUACCUGAGGAAUAAGCAUCGGCUAACUCCGUGCCAGCAGCCGCGGUAAGACGGAGGAUGCAAGUGUUAUCCGGAAUCACUGGGCGUAAAGCGUCUGUAGGUGGUUUAAUAAGUCAAUUGUUAAAUCUUGAGGCUCAACUUCAAAAUCGCAGUCGAAACUAUUAGACUAGAGUAUAGUAGGGGUAAAGGGAAUUUCCAGUGGAGCGGUGAAAUGCGUAGAGAUUGGAAAGAACACCGAUGGCGAAGGCACUUUACUGGGCUAUUACUAACACUCAGAGACGAAAGCUAGGGUAGCAAAUGGGAUUAGAUACCCCAGUAGUC
rnacentral:rRNA from 1 species